rnacentral:lncRNA from 1 species
GUUAGCGCACAGUUCUGCAGCCACACUUGUGCUAUUUAAUGGGUGUAUGAUCCCCAGUGCCUUAGCUUCCUCCUCUGUAAAAUACAAGGAAAAAGAGUGUUCGCCUCGUUAAAUCAUGUAAAAUAGUGAGUUAAUGAAUGUAAAAUGUUCAGAGAAAGGCUGCGACCAUCUUAAAACACUUGACAUAGUUCAUACUGCAUAAUCAAACUAUGCCUUUAGCGAUUAGAGAGCGGAAGUUUAGUCCAAUCUCAAAAAUCAAAGAGCCGGCAAAAAGUGUAGCCAAGACAAUAGGAUUUUAAAUAGGAUAAUUCAAUACAAUGAAAUAAGAGGGUGCCCACAAUGAGUACCCAAGUGGAUUACAAAAUGUUUAAAGAAGACAAAACCCUGUGUGUGGACUUCAAAGAGGAGGGGUCAGUCUUUUCCUGUAGCUGAUGGCUCCAUAGUAUACCGAGCUCCAGGAAAGGGCUCUGGCAGUGCAGUGGCUAAAAGGUUAUCCUCAGUAGGAAGAGGGAAGGCCUGGUCUCAUCUUCUCUUUUCUUUCUUUUUGGCCAUUGUCCCCCCCAUCCCCCACCCCAUCACCCAUAAUCUUGAACAGUGUCAACAGUGAAGACCUUAGGACUAGCAGUCUACAGACCUAGGCUUUUGUCUUGGUCUGGUCUGCUGUAACCCAGUGUGACCCUUGGACAAGCCACUUGACCUUUUGGGAUCCCAGGAUCCUCAUUUAGAAAUAAGAAGGCCAAAUGAAAUUAUUUUAAGUCUCUUGUUGUGCUGAUUUUGUGAUUUUGCUUUGUUUCUUCA